AUUGAUUAUGGGAAUAUUGUUGGUGGUGGAUCGUCAUCAUCAGCUGGAGUUUAGCUGUUGGCCAUGCAGAAGUUGAGGGGCUCUCUCGCAUUACUACUGUUGUUCCUGGUACAGACGAAUCAAUUAGCAAGUUGGUGCAGCAGCUUUAUAAGCUUGCCGAUAUUCAUGAUGUGAGAAUGUUUAACUGUUACAAAGAAUGCAUUUGUUUAAUAUGUUAAAGUAAAAUUGAUUCGUUCUCAUCUCUUAUGAAUUGUGAUGAAUGCAAUGAGUAAAUUUAAUGCUACUUGGUUAAUGCAAAUUAUGUAUAUGUUUGUUUUGAUGGAAAUUGUGAACUUAGAUGCAUGCUAGACAUUGGACAACCUUUGAAUAAAUGGAAUGAUGUUGUAUUAGCCUUUGAUGGAAUGGAAUGGAAUGAUAUAAUGGCAAAA